rnacentral:rRNA from 1 species
AUACGUAGGGGGCGAGCGUUGUCCGGAAUGAUUGGGCGUAAAGGGCGCGUAGGCGGCCCGGUAAGUCUGGAGUGAAAGUCCUGUUUUUAAGAUGGGAAUUUCUUUGGAUACUGUCGGGCUUGAGUGCAGGAGAGGUAAGUGGAAUUCCCAGUGUAGCGGUGAAAUGCGUAGAGAUUUGGAGGAACACCAGUGGCGACGGCGACUCUCUGGUCUGUAACGGACGCUGAGGCGCGAAAGCGUGGGGAGCGAACAGGAUUAGAUACCCUGGUAGUCCACGCCGUAAACGAGGAGUGCUAAGUGUUAGAGGGUUUCCGCCCUUUAGUGCUGCAGCAAACGCAUUAACACUCCGCCUGGGGAGUACGGUCGCAAGACUGAAACUCAAAUGAAUUGACGGGG